GGUCUAAGCACCACUGAUCACAUCAAACAAAAAUGUCAAGAAUAAUGCUUCCUCCCCGAAGAUCUGUCUGCUCUCUCCCUCAACAUAUGGAUUGGCUAUUGUAUUGCUUUCAAAAACUGGGCUGUGAUACAAGUAUACACACCAACCAAAAUAUAGUAGCUUUAUAAAUUAUAUUCUUGACAUUUUUGUUUGAUGUGAUCAGUGGCACUUAGACC